CUUCAGUCCUCUUGAGGGCCAUUCUGUCCCCUAGGAGAAUGACAUGGCUGUGGCUUCCAACACUAUGGUAGCUUGAAUGUAAUUGACCCCCAUGAGCUCACAGGGAGUGGCACUAUUAGGAGGUGUGGCUUUGUUGGAGUAGGUAUGACCUUGUUGGAGGAAGCGUGUCUCUGUGGGGUGGGCUUUGAGGUCUCUUUUGUUCAUGCUUCCCUCAGUGUGAUACUGAGACCAUUUCCUGUUGCCUGCAAGAUGUAGGACUCUCAGCUAUUUUGCCAGCACCAUGUCUGCCUGCACUCUGCCACAAUCCCCACCAUGAGGAUGGUGGACUGAACCUCUGAAAAUGUAAGCCACCCCAAUGAAAUGUUUUCCUUUAUAAGAGUUGCUGAGGUCAUGGUGUCUCUUCACAGCAAUAGACACCCUAAAACCCAAAGGCCCACUCCAGUGCCUGACAGGUUCUGCUCCUCAUCCAGCAGCUGCAGCAAGAGCCUGGUGAGGCUUCCCCUCUGACCCACAGACCUGGCUGUGGUCCUCGUCCAAAUCGGCUCCUCCAAGUCAGGAUCUUUUCUUGUUUUGUUUCAGAGUGGGGUCAGCCCAGGAUGUGGCCCACGCUAAAGAAAGCAGUCUGUUUUGAGCCACAUUCCUAUCUAACCCCGCUGCCCUGAAGAGGGGUGAGCAGCUGGACUCUGACUCAUUUUUCCUGUGUCCUAUUGUGGGUCAGGUGCCUUUCCCCGCCUCAGUCUGCCUCUGUGUGUUUCUCUUUCCCUUCCCUUCCACUGUUUCUCUCUGAAGGAGUCUCCCGCCCAGGGAAGCCCAAUCUUUCCUUCCUCCCUCCUCUGGGAUCAGGACAGUCAAGGUCUUCCUCCUAGGCAGACUUUAGCUAGCCUUUGGUCUGGGACGAGAAGAAGGGGAUGGUGACAGUCUUAGUGGAGGUCAGAGCCCCGCGGACAAGUCUUCGGCCCUGAACCUUGAUGAGCUAUGGAUGGCACCAAGAGUCUCUCUGACAGAGCUGGGGAAGUGGAGACCAGGAAUGAGGCUGAGGAGAUCCUAGCCCAGGCUGAGCGGACCCAAGCCCAGGCUGAGUUGGCCCGAGCCCAAGCUGAGAAGAUCCUAGUCCAGGCUGAGGUUAUCCGAGCCCAGGCUGAGUUGACACAAGCCCAGAAUGAGUUGACCCAAGCCCAUGCUGAGAAGAUCCUAGUCAAAGCUGAGGAAGUCCUAGCCCAGGCUAAGGAGAUCCUAGCCCAGGGUCAGUUGACCAAAGCCCUGGCUGAGGAGGUCCUAGACCAGGCUGAAGAUGUCCUAGACCAGGCUGAAGAAGUCAUAGCCCAGGCCGUGUUGACCCAAGCUAAGGAUCAAAACCAAAACCAGAUGGAAGAGAGCCAAACCAAAGAGAGUCAAGCUGUGAGAGAACACAGCAAAGCUAAAGAUCAGAGCCAAGACAAGACCAAAGAUAGCCAAGAUGAGGCCAAGGGAGAUUGGGACAAACAGAAGAGCCAAGAUCAGCCCAAAGCUCUAAAAUGGAUUUGGUGCAAAAUCCAGCAUUUCUUUAAGAAGUUGAAGGAAAUUUUUAAAUGCCUUUGUUAAGUUUGUUAUGCCGAAAAGACAGUGAAGGAAAAUUUUAAUGCCUUUGUUAUUUAUGCCAAGCCGGCCACUACUUUGUUUUAUAGGAAUUCCUGAAAAACUUAUUCAUCUGAAACAUGUCCAAGUAGGUGUAGGUAACAGUGCGAGCCUGCCCUUUUCUAAUGUCUUGUAGAGAAUGUUCUCAAGUCCCUUCCAUUUUCUCUAUUGGAGCUACUCUGUGUAGCUUGCUCCCCUGUAUGUCUAUUCUGUUGCUCUUGUCCUAGGCUCCCUAAUAAAAGUUGCUUUAAAGGAAGCA
rnacentral:lncRNA from 1 species